rnacentral:rRNA from 1 species
UACGAAGGGGGCUAGCGUUGCUCGGAAUCACUGGGCGUAAAGCGCACGUAGGCGGCUUGCUAAGUCAGGGGUGAAAUCCUGGAGCUCAACUCCAGAACUGCCUUUGAUACUGGUGAUCUUGAGUCCGGGAGGGGUGAGUGGAACUGCGAGUGUAGAGGUGAAAUUCGUAGAUAUUCGCAAGAACACCAGUGGCGAAGGCGGCUGACUGGACACAUAUUGACGCUGAGGCUCGAAAGCAUGGGGAGCAAACAGG